rnacentral:tRNA from 1 species
CAAAAUAUAGCUUAAUCAAAAGCAUUCAGCUUACACCUGAAAGACGUACAUUAAAACAGGAAUAUUUUGA